UACGGAAGGCAGCAGUGGGGAAUAUUGCACAAUGGGCGCAAGCCUGAUGCAGCCAUGCCGCGUGUAUGAAGAAGGCCUUCGGGUUGUAAAGUACUUUCAGUCGUGAGGAAGGUGUUAAGGUUAAUAACCUUAGCAAUUGACGUUAGCGACAGAAGAAGCACCGGCUAACUCCGUGCCAGCAGCCGCGGUAAUACGGAGGGUGCGAGCGUUAAUCGGAAUUACUGGGCGUAAAGGGCACGCAGGCGGUUAAUUAAGUUGGAUGUGAAAUCCCUGGGCUUAACCUGGGAAUGGCAUUCAAGACUGGUUAGCUAGAGUCUUGUAGAGGGGGUAGAAUUCCAUGUGUAGCGGUGAAAUGCGUAGAGAUGUGGAGGAAUACCGGUGGCGAAGGCGGCCCCUGGGACAAGACUGACGCUCAUGUGCGAAAGCGUGGGGAGCAAACGAGGAUUAGGAUA
rnacentral:rRNA from 1 species